CCUACGGGAGGUCGCAGUGGGGAAUAUUGCCCUGUGGGCUAAAGCCUGACCCAGCCCCCCCGCGUGAGAGAUGAAGGCCUUCGGGUUGUAAAGCUCUGUCGGGAGGGAGGAAAGGAGCUAUCGUUGACGGGACCUCGCAAGAAAGCACCGGCUAACUCUGUGCCAGCAGCCGCGGUAAUACAGAGGGUGCAAGCGUUGCUCGGGUUUACUGGGCGUAAAGCGUACGCAGACGGUGAGAAAGGUCGAAUGUGAAAGCCCCGGGCUCAACCCGGGAACUGCAUCCGAAACCAUCUCGCUAGAGUAUGAGAGAGGGAAGCAGAAUUCCUGGUGUAGAGGUGAAAUUCGUAGAUAUCAGGAGGAAUACCUGCGGCGAAGGCGGCUUCCUGGCUCAUUACUGACGUUCAGGUACGAAAGCGUGGGUAGCAAACAGGAUUAGAUACCCUGGUAGUCCACGCUGUAAACGAUGUGUGCUGGAUGUCGGGGGUAUUCACCCCCUCGGUAUCGAAGCUAACGCGAUAAGCACACCGCCUGGGGAGUACGGCCGCAAGGUUGAAACUCAAAGGAAUUGACGGGGGCCCGCACAAGCGGUGGAGUAUGUGGUUUAAUUCGACGCAACGCGAAGAACCUUACCCAGCCUUGACAUCCCUGGAACCCGGUGGAAACACUGGGGUGUCCUCGCAAGAGGAAGCCAGGUGACAGGUGCUGCAUGGCUGUCGUCAGCUCGUGUCGUGAGAUGUUCGGUUAAGUCCGGCAACGAGCGCAACCCUUGCUUCCAGUUGCCAUCAUUAAGUUGGGAACUCUGGAGGGACUGCCGGCGCUAAGCCGGAGGAAGGUGGGGACGACGUCAAGUCAUCAUGGCCUUUAUGGCUGGGGCUACACACGUACUACAAUGACGACUACAGAGGGCUGCGAAGCGGCGACGUGAAGCAAAUCCCAAAAAAGUCGCCUCAGUUCGGUUUGGAGUCUGCAACUCGACUCCCAUGAAGUUGGAAUCGCUAGUAAUCGCGGAUCAGAACGCCGCGGGUGAAUACGUUCCCGGGCC
rnacentral:rRNA from 1 species